UGCGUUGGCACAACUACGGUAGUUUUAUUUUAUAACUAUUAGUAAAUUUAUAGUAUUAUAUAACUCAUAAGAUGUAUUCUCUGUCCGAACUAGUAAUAAUAUUAACAUUCACAAGGCAGAAAAAUAGCAGAUGUAGCAGAUGGAAAUUUGAACUUGAUUUUUAAGAUUUCUACAAAGCAAAUAUUGGCAUGUGGGUAGACGGGGGACGUUUUAAAAAUCUUUAGUUUUUUUCAAAACUGUCAGCCAUGGAGUUUUCAAGAGUUUUCCGUUUACAAGUAGAAAAGGUUAUGACAAGCGGAGUCGUUUUGAUGGAGAUGGAGUUUUUAAUGGAGUCGCGCAUGGAAGUUACGUCAUGAUAAGUGGAACCACGUAUAGAACUUGUAAUAUUAAAGAAGCACGACACAAAACUGUAGAUCUCUGAAUUUUUGAAAACUCAUACUUGAAGUAGCGAACAUGGAGUUUCUUAUUUUAAGAAAUGCAUUCUACUAAUUCUGAAGUUUCAAAAAGUCAUAUUUGAAGUAGCGUACAUGGACUUUCUUAAUAUAAGUUGUCUAUUCAAGCUGCUCAUCUACACGAGUAAAGAAAAAUAUACAAUUCAAAGAUAAAAGAGAUAAAAAUGGUAUAGGAUAUAAAUAUCGAUGUAAAUAGUGUUAAUAAUAAUGAUGGCACUAGAAUGGAAUAGUAAUAUGGCAGAGUUUGUAAAUAAUGAAAGUGAAAGCGCAUUUGAAAGGGUAUUCAAAGAGAAAGUGUAUUAAAGCCAGUUAAGGUACUAAGUAGAAACUCAGAAUGUGUAGAAAUAAUCUUGGCGUUUCUGACUUGAAGAAGUAUUUACAGUUGAGGUUAUUAAUGAACAAACGAAAAACAUUUUAUUAGCAUUUGCUAUCAACUUACUAGCUGUUGCUAUCAACCACCGGAUUGAGCUAAAUUUUAAGCAUGUUCUUACCAAAAAAAUUGUACUAAAAUGUUAUAAUAAAAUGUAAUAACGUGAAAAAGAAAGUUUUUCGUUUUGGAAAACUUGAAUUGUUUGAUUUUUAUGAUUAUGCAACGAUUUCUGAAUUUGAAGCAAUUCCAUUAAUAGAUUGUCCUAGCCCAGAAUAACAAAAGAUUCUGAAAGUCCGCAGUAUUAUUACCAUUGACAUCUUUAACAAUGAUUUGAAAAUAGGCAAUACGAGAAAGUAUUUAAAAACGGAUACAACUGGAAUAUUACUAAAUUAGCAGAAAACAAAAAACUUAAACACUUUGCGAAAAGACUCCAGCGCUUAACCACAAGGUUCAAGCACUUAGUCACAAGACACAAGCACUUAGCCUCAAGAUUCAAGCACUUAGCCACAAGAAUAUUUUCAAAAAAAUUUAUUUUAUGAUUUUUUUAGUACCUAUUGAUAAAUUUCAAUAAAUUUAAGUUUAUUUUUCAAAUUAAUUAUCUUCCAAAUUUUCAUUUGAUAAAACUUUUCAGCCUUUUCAGUCAAACAGUUUAGUAAUAAAAAAAAAAAGCACAAUGAAAUAAGUUUACGAAAUAAAUGGAAUUAUUGGUAAUAGUUGCAACAAACAGUUGUUCUUUUUUGAAGUUUUUAGAACUUCAAUUUAUCAAGAAAUUUUCCCUAAACAUUUAAAAACUGUCAGAGUUACCUCCUGAUAAUAAAUAAGACGACAGAUUAAAAACCAUUAAUUAUCGUCCUAACUGCAAACUUUUUUAAGUUUAGAAAGAGCUGUGUUUAACAAAAUGUAGAACGAUUUAAAUUACAAUAUCUUACUUUAUAAUAAUCACUAUGCUUUAAAAAAAAAGUAGUUUAACUGAACAUGUAGUUGUUUAAUUUGUACAUAAUAUCUUCAUAUCUUUUAUCAAUAUAUAUAUAUAUAUAUAUAUAUAGCGUUUUUGAUUAUCUAUCAAAAGUUUUUCAUUAUAACGCAUUCUUUGGUUUAUUUAUUGAUUUAAAUAAUUGGUUUAUAGGAUAGUUUGAAAUCUAUUUAUCAAAUCGUAAGUAAUUUGAGUAUGGGUAUGAUGGACGUCAAAUGUGAAAAAUUUAAAUGAUGGUCAGACGUCAAUGUGAACUCUUAAAUUCAAAUGACAGUGAUCCACAAGUUUCUGAUCACUGCUUUAAUCUAUGUAAAAAACAUGAACAAAACUUCUAAACUAAAAAAGCAUGAUAUUUGCAGAUAAUGCUAAUCUUUUCCACAAAAAUACUAAUCUCAUAUUGAUUACUUCAUUAAAAAAAAAAAUCAACUCACACUGAUUCAUGAAUAUGAACGAAACAAAACUAUUUACGAAAUAAAUACUAUUUUUGAUUCUUCUUCAAAAAAUAUUUUCUACCAAACAAUAUGCAAGAAAAAUCUAUAGAAAAAAUUGUAAUAAAGUUUAUUUUAGUGAGAAUAUUAGUUGGACAUAUUGACUCCGUUUUUAUAAGCACCAAAGUUUCUAAAAAUACAUUUUAUAUAAAACCCGUAGUAUUUAAUGUUACCUGUUAGCUACAACAUUGUUAUAAUAAAAGUAUAAAGAUAUGUUAUAAAAAAAUUGUAUCUGAAUUAAUAAUCUAGGAGCUGGCGAUGAAAAACAUUUGUUUGUAAGCAUUUUGUCAUAUUUUCCCCUUCAACAUCGCUGAAGGCAAACAAGUGAGCAGAAUAUUUUUCACAAGUAAGAAAUUUGUCACAAAAUACCUAAUGAUGACGAAGUUUUAUAAUGUUUUUCAAAUAUAAUUUAUUCAGCAUGUAAUAAAGCAAAAAUCACUGUAUCCUGAACAUGAAACUCCAUUUUUAACUAAACUGCUACACUUUCAUUUUUAGCUAAACACUUCCAAACAGAUUUUUUCUUAUCAACAAUAUUGUAACUAAAAAUACCAUUGUAAUUUUUCUUGUAUAUAAAAUGCUAAACUUUCAAAUGUAAAAGAACAAAGAAUAUAAGUUUUAACUAAUUCUUAAAAGAAAUCCGAUGCCAUCUCACAGCAUUAGCGUAAUUGGUAUCGUUUUGCAAAUGAGUACGCAAUAUUAUUAAAAUUUCUGAUUGAAGAAGCCAAUUUUUUAGAAAUACAAGUGUUUUGCUUUAUAAAGUAAACACCUUAAAUAUCGUAGUGGUGAAUAUUCAUUAAUAGGCCGAGCAUAAUGGAGCAUAAAAUGAAACUUUUUUGUAAAAUUAUUUGGAAAAAGGUGAACAAAAUUUUGCAAAAACUAGUCCACUAAAAAUUGAAUAUACGGUAAUACAGCUUUGAAUAUACGGUAAUACAGCUUUGAAUAUACGGUAAUACAGCUUUGAAUAUAUAGUAAUACAGCUUUGAAUAUACGGUAAUACAGCUUUGAAUAUACGGUAAUACAGCUUUGAAUAUAAAGUAAUACAGCUUUGAAUAUACGGUAAUACAGCUUUGAAUAUACGGUAAAACAGCUUUGAAUAUAAAGUACCGUAGAUGGGGGUAACUAAAGUCUACGGGGAAACUAAAGCCAUUAUAGCAGGUAAUUUUUGGAUGGUGAUAGUGGCAGCACUGUUUGGAUUCAACAGCUGAUGUUGUGUUCUUCUAAUAGGAACUUGGACUGCUUUCCAAAUACUUGUCUGGAUUAUUAAAACAAUAUCACG